ACCUAGGCGACGCAGAUUAUUUCAACGUUCUAGUUGGGGACAUCCUGAACUCGUGUUGCAUGAACAUGGCAAAUUUUGGGAAACAGCAAUCCCUAACUACACAGGUGAACGAUUUCAGAAAAAAUUGUCGCUUCAAAAGGGCAACAUUUAUGACUUUGUGCAACAUGCUUAGGCCCUACCUGUUAAAACACAACACUGGUAUGAGACAGGCUACUGUGCUUGAAAAGGGAGUGGCGGUCGCCUUGACGUUUUUGAAGGAAAACUGUGACUUUUGGUCCGUUGCUGAUUUAUAUGGAAUUGGAUAAAGUAUCGUAGGAUGUCUGUGAUAUGAAUUUUGUGAAGCGGUGCUGGCACAUUAUUAUGAUGACGUCGUCAAGUUUCCCGAUACUGAAGUGGAAAGAUUUGCUAUAAGCAGAGGUUUCAUGAACAGAUGGCAAUUCUCUGAUUGUUUUGGUGCGAUGAACGGAACUCAUAUUCCUAUAUCAGUUCCUGCAGACCAUCCCGAGGAUUAUUAUAAUUAUAAAUCAUUUCAUUUAAUCGUCGCGUUACGCGUUGUUGAUUACAAGUAUCGGUUCACGUAUAUAAACAUUGGCGCCCCUGGACGUUGCAACAAUGCAUCAAUUUUCCAUAGAAGUGCAUUAUUCAAACAGUUCUCUGUAAAUAAUGAGACUCUUGAUGGAUAAACAACUAAUCUGCACAUAUUAUCUGAUGCAGCUUUUCCUUUGUUAACAUGGCUGUUGAAACUUUAUCCCAUAACCGACGAAAUGUCGCUCGUGAAUCGAAAUUUCAAAUAUGGGUCGAGU